GUCACAUUUCAACACUUUCUCUCUCAUAUAUCCUGGAUCUAGAUAUUAGUCAACAUUUUAUUUUUCACAUCUUCAAGAUCUAGAUCUGAAGAAAAAUCAAAGAGAUUCUCUCAUGAGACUCAAAGAUAAUAAUAAGAUUUUUAUUUGUUGGCCUCAAGAUUUUAAUCGCCUUAUUCGGAACAAAUGAUGAGAGACCAUUUUAUCAUCUCCACUAAAAGGUGGUGAUUCUGGUGGAGUUUCAAAAUGUAGACCCACAUCAAACAUAUCUUGAUUUCAGUACACCACUCAAAGAAGACGAUGAUGACUUGCCGUUAUCUCCACGUACGGAUUAUAAGGAAGGAUAAGUACCAACAAGAUAUAAAGCAGGAACUCAAGUUUUGACCAUGUUACACAUGUUACAAACAAGUUGUAACAUGUUACAAACAAGUUGCAACAUGUGUAACACAAUAUUAAUGUGUUAUACAUAUAUGUAACACAUGUAACAUUCGUAGCAACAUGUUAAUUUGACAAAUAUAUAUUUUAUUUUUUUUUACAACUACAUAUGCAACAACCCUUUUGUUAAAUAAGUAAUAAAUUGCUAGGUGGUAUCUUUGUUUUUUGAAGUUACACACAUGGCAAAAAAGAAUGAUGUGACCAACAUUUUAUAAGGUAAAAUUUGCUAUUAUUUAGUCACUUCUUACACAAAUUACUAUUGUUGCGUUCGAACACUUUAAAUAUUUUAUUCCAAAAAAAGUCACUUGUCAUAUGUAAUGACACUUUAAUAAAUAUGUAUCACACCCCAACUGAUGGCGGAAACAUCAGGAUGAGACGAAAUAGAUUGUAAGAGACAUCAUAACGCUAUUUGUGUCAAGUAUUUAAUGAUUUCAUUUUACAUUGUUUGAACUAGAAAUACCACAAGUUAGAAAAUAUUCGACAAGUAUUAAAGUAAAUAAAUUUCAUUUUAUAAUAAUGGUUUAUUACAAGAUUGGAAACAAAU
rnacentral:lncRNA from 1 species